CACCCCAGACAUGAAAAGAAGAACUCAGAGUUUCAAUUUCUUAAAGAUGACUUCAGCAUUCAGGACCAACAACAUGAAAAGCAGUUUCCUGCUCAUUAUGUUCCUGCUGACAGCCUGUGAGAUGUCACAACAGAAUGAAUGCAGAACAUGGGUUGAAGUCACCUGCAAGACACUAAAAACUAAAGAAACACAUUAUGUAAAGUAUGAAAGCAACCAAAUCCCAAAGGCGGUCUUCAGGGAACUUAAAAGUGAGGAAUCCUAUAAGAAAAUGUGCAAGAAUUCAUCUGGCAAAGAGAAACCGUCUGUGAAAAGCGUAUGCCUGAAGCAAUUUAAUCAAAUUGCGUACAGAACAACUAAAACCACGAUCAAAUGUGAUUAUGAAGGAGACAACAAACCAUUUUUUUUCUGCAAAGACAAUAACUCUGUCUGUGAGAACAUGGUAUUAUCUCCUCAACAGUCAAACAGCAGAUUCACUUUCACAAAGACAAACAGAAACUUCAUCCUGUCCAUCAGUAACGUGUCCUCACAGGAUGAAGGUGUCUACUGGUGUGGAGUGAAAUUUAAAAAAGAGGUCGUGCUCCAGAAAAUACAACUGGAUGUGGAACAUAUUACUAAUUUCACAAGAUCACCAGCUGCUGGUCAGAACUUCUCAUACUGGUGUAAAUGCAAAGAGAAGGCCUCACCUUCAAAAUCAAUCUGUAAGGGAGACGAUCCAUCUAUAUGUCAAACUCUAGUAACGACCAAUGAGCCUGAUAAGAACAAGAAGUUUUACAUAAAUGAUAAAGACAGGACAAAUAUUACUGUUACAAUAAGAAAUGUAACAGCAGAUGACAGCGGGACAUACUGGUGUCGAGCGAAAAACGACAACCAACAAAUCUGCAACAGACUGAUCCUGACUGUAGGAUCACCAACAACAUCCACGUCUACCAUUUCAUCAACUACAGCGACGACUACAGCGACGACUACAGCUGCAGCUGCAGCUGCUGGGACACGUGGCGUCUCUGAGGCCAUCAUUUCUGUGAUCGUCUGUGUGGCUGUGCUGCUUUUUGUGAUACUGAUGAUCCUAAUCUAUAAACGAUUUUCACGUUCAAAAAACACAGGAAAUGGUGCAGCAGCAUGCCGUACCAAAGAGGACUGUACCUAUGAGGAGAUACAGGAGCGCCUCCAGCUGCCAGACUCAGAAAAUGCAACAAACACAAUUUAUGCCACCGUCAGCUCUCCAAACCCUGUGCCCUCAACACAUUAUGCUACCAUUAACUUUCAAAACUCCGAUAAAGCUGCUGCUGAGACAGUCAGACUCGGCUACUCUGCCUGUGAAUAUUCUACUGUGAAGUUUCCCAAAUGUCGAACUGACUCGAGUGACACCCAACUGUACCCGCCGACCGAGGAGCCGCUCUACUCAACAGUCAACAAGCUAAGAAAAUGAGAUCAUUUAUUUAAAGAAUAUAACAGAUUUAUGAAUAAAAAUAAUGUAUUUAGUGUUUGAGUCACAGUGAUUUUGUGAUGGUGUUUUGGUGCUGAUCUGUUCUGAGAUCUUAGAUUUUAUUUCCCCGUGAAGAUAAUUGGCGCGAUAUGGCAGCCUCGCUUCUGUCAGUCUGCCCCAGGGCAGCUGUGGCUACAACUGUAGCUUGCCUCCACUAGUGUAUGAAUGUGAGAGUGAAUGAAUAGUGGUAUUGCAAAGCGCUUUGGGUGCCUUGAAAAGCGCUAUAUAAAUCCAAUCCAUUAUUAUUAUUAUUAAAGCCUAUCAGGAAGAUACGGACCUGCCUCUUUCACAGGAGGAGAAGCCAACAAAGAGGUCAAGUGCUUUUGUACCACACUGUGGUACGAUACACAACAUCCACACUUAGAGCCACUGACUUUAACCACAAUGAAUGUGAAAGUAUCCUAAGCAUCUGGAUUGAAUAAUAAUAUAUCAAAAGAAUUAGCUGUUAUUUAUAACUUAACUCUCUACAGCACAGCAUUGCUGCUGGGCAACAACAUGCCCAGUACAGGUGAAAUGAACUGAGCCAACCAAUCAGAGUGUUGGAAAAAGUAUCAAAUUUCAGUCCUAUAAGAUGUUCGAGUCACUGUCGAGCAGUAUUAGUACGGUGGGGCAUCCUGUUCUGACACAUGGUCACAGGACCAGAUGAUGUGUGAAGCUGCCAUUGUAAGUGUAAUUAAAAUGACAAACUGUAAAUAAAAGAGUACAUGUGAGUGUAAGAAGAUAUAGAGGGUUUUUUUUUCAUGUUUCAUGCUGUGUUUUCAUUUUGAAUGUUAAAAAAAAUGUUUUUUCCUUCUUUCCAUUGCCCUUGUGUGAUAAAGGGAACUUUUUAAGGGAGCCAUAUGUAAUACACACACACACACACACACACACACACACACACACACACACACACACACACACACACACAGAUAUAUAUAUAUAUGCAUGUAUGUAUAUACCACUCCUAUGUUCUUUGUCCCACUUCAGUCUAAGAUCGUCUGUAACCAUGUAACCAAAACUAUGAAUUGUAAUUUUAAAUGGUUUAAAAGUAUAUAGAAUAGCAUAUGUAGGCAAGUAUAUUUCUCCUUUUGUUAUCAAGAAGCAAAGACAGAAAGGGGAAAAAAAGAACAAACAGGGCAGGGUUUGGUGGUUGAAUCAUCCGUCCCCACCAAUGCCAAAACCAAAUCUACGCCCUUGGACUAUAAAAGUCAAAGUGAAUUGAAUCAAGAGUAAAGAUGAGGAUUCCUGUGUGCACAGAAACAAAAAAGUGAUGUGUCUGAAGUGCAAUGUGCACCUCUGUUUUACAGCACAGAACUCUCUCUUCAACACUUUCUAUUGUUUUUAUUGCUUUCAGUUGUGUUAUGAUCUAUGAGUUAUGUUUAUAUAUAUACUGUUGUUGCACAAUGUUUCCUCUAAGCAAUGAAAAAUAUCUUGAAGAGGUUGUCUGGAAUACAUUUUUUGUAUCAGUCAGUAAAUGAUGUUAAAUCAUUUCCAGCAUGUACCACGAAAAUGUGUGCAGUAGUAGUUAAACAGUUUGCUUGACUUCAAUAUUUUCAUGCUUAAAUAUAUCCACGGUGCUGUGUGUAUCGGACAUAUUGUUUACAUCAGUGUUUUUGCUUUGUAAGAGAUAAUUUACCCCUGCUGUACAUAGAAACCGCCUGGAAGCUGUCCGUCUGUCUACGGUGCAGUUUUAUGAGUUAUAAUGUGACCAGUUUUAAUCGGGGGGAUAAUUUAUCAUGUUUAUUCAACAACUGUUUGUCAGUUUUAUAUUUGUC
ensembl:lncRNA